rnacentral:rRNA from 1 species
AUUGAACGCUGGCGGCAUGCUUUACACAUGCAAGUCGAACGGUAACAGGCCUUCGGGUGCUGACGAGUGGCGGACGGGUGAGUAAUGCAUCGGAACGUACCCAGAGGUGGGGGAUAACGCAGCGAAAGCUGUGCUAAUACCGCAUGUGAUCUGAGGAUGAAAGCGGGGGACCGAGCAGCAAUGUUUGGCCUCGCGCCUUUGGAGCGGCCGAUGUCGGAUUAGCUAGUUGGUGGGGUAAAGGCCUACCAAGGCGACGAUCCGUAGCUGGUCUGAGAGGACGACCAGCCACACUGGGACUGAGACACGGCCCAGACUCCUACGGGAGGCAGCAGUGGGGAAUGUUGGACAAUGGGCGCAAGCCUGAUCCAGCAAUGCCGCGUGCGGGAAGAAGGCCUUCGGGUUGUAAACCGCUUUUGGCAGGAACGAAACGGUGUCCGCUAAUACCGGGCGCUAAUGACGGUACCUGCAGAAUAAGCACCGGCUAACUACGUG